rnacentral:rRNA from 1 species
GCGGAGGAAAAGAAACCAACAGGGAUUGCCCCAGUAACGGCGAGUGAAGCGGCAACAGCUCAAAUUUGAAAUCUGGUCCCCCCGCGGGGCCCGAGUUGUAAUUUGAAGAGGAUGCUUCUGGCAAGGUGCCGUCCGAGUUCCCUGGAACGGGACGCCGCAGAGGGUGAGAGCCCCGUACGGUCGGACGCCGAGCCUCUGUGAAGCUCCUUCGACGAGUCGAGUAGUUUGGGAAUGCUGCUCAAAAUGGGAGGUAAACCCCUUCUAAAGCUAAAUACCGGCCAGAGACCGAUAGCGCACAAGUAGAGUGAUCGAAAGAUGAAAAGCACUUUGAAAAGAGAGUUAAAAAGCACGUGAAAUUGUUGAAAGGGAAGCGCUUGCGACCAGACUCGCGCCCGUCGGAUCAGCCGUCGCUCGUCGGCGGCGCACUCCGGCGGGCUCGGGCCAGCAUCAGUUCGCCUCGGGGGGAGAAAGGCGGCGGGAAUGUGGCUCUACGGAGUGUUAUAGCCCGCCGCGUAAUACCCCCGGGCGGU